rnacentral:rRNA from 1 species
UACGUAGGGUGCAAGCGUUAAUCGGAAUUACUGGGCGUAAAGCGUGCGCAGGCGGUUAUGUAAGACAGUUGUGAAAUCCCCGGGCUCAACCUGGGAACUGCAUCUGUGACUGCAUAGCUAGAGUACGGUAGAGGGGGAUGGAAUUCCGCGUGUAGCAGUGAAAUGCGUAGAUAUGCGGAGGAACACCGAUGGCGAAGGCAAUCCCCCUGGACCUGUACUGACGCUCAUGCACGAAAGCGUGGGGAGCA